CCUCAUCCUCCUCCCCUUCCCCGUCCUUAAUGAGGAAUGGACACAGCCUAAGUUUGCACAGCCUGGAUGACUUUGAGUCUAAAUUUCAGUUCCACCCAAUAGAAGACUUUCCCCCUCCAGAGGAGUUUUGGCCCUUUCCACGCAUCUACCCAAGCAGAGAGAACCAAGGAGUGAUCAGGACACAGCUAUGGUGAUGCAGUGAGACAACAUGGACCCCCCACCCCCACACAUCCAACAGCUGGCCCAACACAUCCUCUUCAUCCUACAUUAUCCUCAUCCUCUGUCCCCAGGGGCCAUGCUCAUGGACGGAUAAUUGAGACUGUGUGUGUGUGUGUGUGUGUGUGUGUGUGUGUGUGUGUGUGUGUGUGUGUGUGUGUGUGUGUGUGUGUGUGUGUGUGUGUGUGUGUGUGUGUGUGUGUGUGUGUGUGUGUGUGCGAAUGCAAUACCGUGCCACACCCAGGGCAGGCUAUGUGACCUCCAACCUUCUCCAGUGUGGAAUGUUUUGAAUGUGUCAGGAGGGUAGAACCCAACUGUGUUCUCUCCCUCUCACUAUAUAUAUAUAUCUAUUGAUAAACUGAGUGGCACCAGCCCUGAAUGCUGAUUGGCUGACAGCCAUGAUAUAUCAUAGGUAUGACAAAACAUUUAUUUUACAUUGG